AUUGAACGCUGGCGGCAUGCCUUACACAUGCAAGUCGAACGGCAGCACGGGAGCAAUCCUGGUGGCGAGUGGCGAACGGGUGAGUAAUAUAUCGGAACGUGCCCAGUCGUGGGGGAUAACGUAGCGAAAGCUACGCUAAUACCGCAUACGAUCUAUGGAUGAAAGCGGGGGCUCGCAAGACCUCGCGCGAUUGGAGCGGCCGAUAUCAGAUUAGGUAGUUGGUGAGGUAAAGGCCCACCAAGCCGACGAUCUGUAGCUGGUCUGAGAGGACGACCAGCCACACUGGGACUGAGACACGGCCCAGACUCCUACGGGAGGCAGCAGUGGGGAAUUUUGGACAAUGGGCGCAAGCCUGAUCCAGCAAUGCCGCGUGCAGGAUGAAGGCCUUCGGGUUGUAAACUGCUUUUGUACGGAACGAAACGGUGAGCUCUAAUACAGUUUGCUAAUGACGGUACCGUAAGAAUAAGCACCGGCUAACUACGUACCAGCCGCCGCAGUAA
rnacentral:rRNA from 1 species